CCUACGGGGAGCAGCAGUGGGGAAUAUUGGACAAUGGGCGAAAGCCUGAUCCAGCCAUGCCGCGUGUGUGAAGAAGGCCUUCGGGUUGUAAAGCACUUUCAGUGGGGAAGAAAGCCUUGGGGCUAAUACCCUCGAGGAAGGACAUCACCCACAGAAGAAGCACCGGCUAACUCCGUGCCAGCAGCCGCGGUAAUACGGAGGGUGCGAGCGUUAAUCGGAAUUACUGGGCGUAAAGCGCGCGUAGGCGGUCUGAUAAGCCGGUUGUGAAAGCCCCGGGCUCAACCUGGGAACGGCAUCCGGAACUGUCAGGCUAGAGUGCAGGAGAGGAAGGUAGAAUUCCCGGUGGAGCGGUGAAAUGCGUAGAGAUCGGGAGGAAUACCAGUGGCGAAGGCGGCCUUCUGGACUGACACUGACGCUGAGGUGCGAAAGCGUGGGUAGCAAACAGGAUUAGAUACCCCAGUAGUC
rnacentral:rRNA from 1 species